rnacentral:lncRNA from 1 species
AUUGCUACCCUCAAUAUUAUGACUUAGAUCUAAUGGGCUGAAUACGUUGGAUAGUGAUAAAAAUGACAGAUAUACAAGGUAUAUCCACCCAUGUUUACUGCAAAUGUGAAUUUUUUAAUUACAUGCAAACAAAGAAAUAUUUUCACUAGUGAUUUAUCAUCGUGAUUAAGAACAAUCCUUCUUCUAGAGGCUUAAAAGGUAUUGCCAUUCAAAUUUUUUCCACAUUGGUACUUUAAUACAUUAUCAAAUAUAUCUUUAAUGUCUCAAAUUCCUAGUUAAUCAGGAACAAAACUAUCCCUUAUAUAUAGGUUACCACCUUCAUACAUAAGCUCCCCGCUCCUUUCUACAAAUUUACUUUUACGGUGAAAUACUAGACAGACCACAUCUAUAGAUACCGCAAACAAAAGAUAAAAAGAAAAAAA